CCUACGGGAGGCUGCAGUGAGGAAUAUUGGUCAAUGGACGAGAGUCUGAACCAGCCAAGUAGCGUGAAGGAUGACUGCCCUAUGGGUUGUAAACUUCUUUUAUAUGGGAAUAAAACGUUCCACGUGUGGGAUUUUGUAUGUACCAUAUGAGUAAGGAUCGGCUAACUCCGUGCCAGCAGCCGCGGUAAUACGGAGGAUCCGAGCGUUAUCCGGAUUUAUUGGGUUUAAAGGGAGCGUAGGUGGAUUGUUAAGUCAGUUGUGAAAGUUUGCGGCUCAACCGUAAAAUUGCAGUUGAAACUGGCAGUCUUGAGUACAGUAGAGGUGGGCGGAAUUCGUGGUGUAGCGGUGAAAUGCUUAGAUAUCACGAAGAACUCCGAUUGCGAAGGCAGUUCACUGGACUGCAACUGACACUGAGGCUCGAAAGUGUGGGUAUCAAACAGGAUUAGAUACCCUGGUAGUC
rnacentral:rRNA from 1 species